GUAUGAAAUGAUGGUAGUUCAUCUUUCGGGACUGACUUGUUAUGGAGACACUCUUCCCAAUUUUCUGAUCAUAC